GAUGAACGCUGGCGGCGUGCCUAACACAUGCAAGUCGAGCGAAGCACUUACUUUAGCUUUCUUCGGAAUGACGAAGUUUGUGACUGAGCGGCGGACGGGUGAGUAACGCGUGGGCAACCUGCCCUGUACAGGGGGAUAACAGUUAGAAAUGACUGCUAAUACCGCAUAAGCCCACAGCUUCGCAUGAAGCAGUGGGGAAAAGUCCGGUGGUACAGGAUGGGCCCGCGUCUGAUUAGCUAGUCGGUAAGGUAACGGCUUACCAAGGCGACGAUCAGUAGCCGAGCUGAGAGAGUGACCGGCCACAUUGGGACUGAGACACGGCCCAAACUCCUACGGGAGGCAGCAGUGGGGAAUAUUGCACAAUGGGGGAAACCCUGAUGCAGCGACGCCGCGUGAGCGAUGAAGUAUUUCGGUAUGUAAAGCUCUAUCAGCAGGGAAGAAAGUGACGGUACCUGACGAAGAAGCCCCGGCUAACUACGUG
rnacentral:rRNA from 1 species